UCCGAAGCUGCUUCCUCAAACACGAGGAACAGUUUGGGAUGUACGCCUUGUACAGCAAAAACAAGCCACGCUCAGACGCUCUGCUAACGAGCCACGGAAACAGUUUUUUCAAGAACAAGCAGGUGGAGCUGGGAGAUAAGAUGGACC